GAACGCGGGCGGCGUGCUUAACACAUGCAAGUCGAACGUGAUUUUUGUGGAAAUUCUUUCGGGAAUGGAAAUGAAAUGAAAGUGGCGAACGGGUGAGUAACACGUGAGCAACCUACCUUACACAGGGGGAUAGCCGUUGGAAACGACGAUUAAUACCGCAUGAGACCACAGAAUCGCAUGAUAUAGGGGUCAAAGAUUUAUCGGUGUAAGAAGGGCUCGCGUCUGAUUAGCUAGUUGGAAGGGUAAAGGCCUACCAAGGCGACGAUCAGUAGCCGGUCUGAGAGGAUGAACGGCCACAUUGGAACUGAGACACGGUCCAAACUCCUACGGGAGGCAGCAGUGGGGAAUAUUGCACAAAUGGGGGGAAACCCUGAUGCAAGCGACGCCCGCCGUGAAGCGAAGAAAGGUUU
rnacentral:rRNA from 1 species